UUUACUUAAACAUAAAUGAGAGUAAAACAAAUAAAAUAUGAUUAAUUGUUUCAUCUAAUUAAUAAAAUAUAUGUUAAACUGAUGAAAACUUUUUAUGAGCCAUAAAAUUCUCGCUAUUGAUACAAACACUUGAUGUACAUCAAAGUAAAGAGAUCAUGGAUUAACAGUUUUGACCGGGUAAUUGUGGUCGGGUGGUAAGAAAGUGGGGUUGGGACGCUAAC
rnacentral:lncRNA from 1 species